rnacentral:rRNA from 1 species
AUUGAACGCUGGCGGCGUGCCUUACACAUGCAAGUCGAACGGUAACGGGCCUUCGGGUGCCGACGAGUGGCGAACGGGUGAGUAAUACAUCGGAACGUGCCCGAUCGUGGGGGAUAACGAGGCGAAAGCUUUGCUAAUACCGCAUACGAUCUACGGAUGAAAGCAGGGGACCGCAAGGCCUUGCGCGGACGGAGCGGCCGAUGGCAGAUUAGGUAGUUGGUGGGAUAAAAGCUUACCAAGCCGACGAUCUGUAGCUGGUCUGAGAGGAUGAUCAGCCACACUGGGACUGAGACACGGCCCAGACUCCUACGGGAGGCAGCAGUGGGGAAUUUUGGACAAUGGGCGCAAGCCUGAUCCAGCCAUGCCGCGUGCAGGAUGAAGGCCUUCGGGUUGUAAACUGCUUUUGUACGGAACGAAAAGCCUUCUUUUAAUACAGGAGGGUCAUGACGGUACCGUAAGAAUAAGCACCGGCUAACUACGUG